GACGAACCGUGCGAACGUUAUUCGGAAUCACUGGGCUUAAAGGGCGCGUAGGCGGGCUCGUCAGUCAGGGGUGAAAUCCCACGGCCCAACCGUGGAAGUGCCUCUGAUACUGCGAGCCUCGAGGGGGAUAGGGGCGUGCGGAACUCAGGGUGGAGCGGUGAAAUGCGUAGAUAUCGGGAGGAACACCAAUGGCGAAGGCAGCUCGCUGGGACGUUACUGACGCUGAGACGCGAAAGCGUGGGGAGCAAACAGG
rnacentral:rRNA from 1 species